rnacentral:rRNA from 1 species
AUUGAACGCUAGCGGGAUGCUUUACACAUGCAAGUCGAACGGCAGCGCGGACUUCGGUCUGGCGGCGAGUGGCGAACGGGUGAGUAAUGUAUCGGAACGUGCCCAGUAGCGGGGGAUAACUACGCGAAAGCGUAGCUAAUACCGCAUACGCCCUACGGGGGAAAGCAGGGGAUCGUAAGACCUUGCACUAUUGGAGCGGCCGAUAUCGGAUUAGCUAGUUGGUGAGGUAACGGCUCACCAAGGCGACGAUCCGUAGCUGGUUUGAGAGGACGACCAGCCACACUGGGACUGAGACACGGCCCAGACUCCUACGGGAGGCAGCAGUGGGGAAUUUUGGACAAUGGGGGCAACCCUGAUCCAGCCAUCCCGCGUGUGCAAUGAAGGCCUUCGGGUUGUAAAGCACUUUUGGCAGGAAAGAAACGUCGCGGGCUAAUACCCCGUGGAACUGACGGUACCUGCAGAAUAAGCACCGGCUAACUACGUG